rnacentral:rRNA from 1 species
UAAUACGUAGGGUGCAAGCGUUGUCCGGAAUUAUUGGGCGUAAAGAGCUCGUAGGCGGCUUGUCACGUCGACUGUGAAAACCCGGGGCUCAACUCCGGGCCUGCAGUCGAUACGGGCUGGCUUGAGUGCGGUAGGGGAGACUGGAAUUCCUGGUGUAGCGGUGAAAUGCGCAGAUAUCAGGAGGAACACCGGUGGCGAAGGCGGGUCUCUGGGCCGUAACUGACGCUGAGGAGCGAAAGCGUGGGGAGCGAACAGGAUUAGAUACCCUGGUAGUCCACGCCGUAAACGUUGGGCGCUAGGUGUGGGGACCUAUCCACGGUCUCCGUGCCGCAGCUAACGCAUUAAGCGCCCCGCCUGGGGAGUACGGCCGCAAGGCUA